UACGUAGGGGGCAAGCGUUGUCCGGAAUCAUUGGGCGUAAAGAGCGUGUAGGCGGCCAGAAAAGUCCGCUGUGAAAACUCGAGGCUCAACUUCGAGCUGUCGGUGGAAACUUUCUGGCUAGAGUCCGGAAGAGGAGAAUGGAAUUCCUGGUGUAGCGGUGAAAUGCGCAGAUAUCAGGAGGAACACCGAUGGCGAAGGCAGGUCUCUGGGCCACUACUGACGCUGAGAAGCGAAAGCAUGGGGAGCGAACAGG
rnacentral:rRNA from 1 species